rnacentral:lncRNA from 1 species
CGUUGGGCUUAGAGCCUGACAGCUUUGCAAUCACAGAUUAAAAUGGGAAAGCAGAAGCUGUUUCCAGUCCUCUUACAUUCCUCUCAUAACUCUGGCUCCUCGAUGUGGCUGCUGCUGAGCCACUGGGGAAGCAGCUGGGCACACCAGGCUAAGGGAAUCCCGGUAAGAAGAUCAGAUCCCAAAGGAUCCAGUGCUGACCCCUGGUGCUGUGCCCUUCUCCAGGAUCAUCUCUGAGUAGGUGAGGGUCAAGUACACACCACCAGUGAGAUUAAAAAAGAAAACAAUAGCCUGGGCUCGGUGAUGAGCCAUACAGACGUGGUGUAUGGAGAUACAGAAGUGAUAACUUCAUAGCACUGUUCUGGUAGCACAGAGGAAUACUAGCUUUGUGCCAGAAUUAGGGACUUCUCUUUAAAUUAAACCUGUCUUUGGGUAUUUUACCAGCUCCUUGUAAAAUUACAUUGUUCGUCUGUAUCUGUCUUUUAAUGAAACACGCGUAAAAACCAAAGACGACACUCUGAGGCUGAUGACUGCAGAAUUAUUAUUUCAGUUCCAGGAAGAGGCUUUUGAAGAUCCCAUUAUCUCGAGGAGUCGAGAAAGCCAGGUCUCGGGGCAGGCAGGUCCCCACUGCGAUACUCGACUGGGAGCAGCUGCCUUGUUGCUCCUAGUCCAUUUUCCCCCAAUUUGUGUAGACCUGAGCAAUCUCGUUCUUGCUGUGCUUUUCAGGAAGGCUCCCUAGCGAGAGCACUUGCAAGGUGAAAAAAAAGGCAAUUUUGGCUAAAAGACUUCGAAUCAGCUGCUGACAUGAGUGGGAGUGGAGUGAAUUCAGCGCUCAAGAAAGCAACCACCACCUCGCAGGCUCUGAAAGAACAGUUCACCCGGGAAGAGACCACUGCAGAGAGAGACACUGCUCACAUUUUAGUCCAAAGGAAGGCUGAUGUCUGGAGGAAGAAAAUCUGCAGCUGCCACCUGAGAUUCCCAACUCCUCAAAAAAGUGCAUGCAGUGAAUGGGACUCCAUUUAGUAGGUUUGCAAAACACUGAAAUACUAUGUAAAAUUAAAAUUAACUACAAUAAUAGAUAAAUACUACUUCUUCAAGAGUCCAUAGAUACCCACUCCUGGUUUGAGCAUGCAGACACGAAUUUGGCAUCCUUUUUCCUCUGGACUAUUAAGUGUUCAGGCUCACUAAGCCCUAACAGUUCUUAGAUCCUGUUGGGGUUGGUCUGAAAAAAAAAGAAAAAAAAAAGAAAAAAAAAAGAAAAAAAAAAAGAAAAGAGCAUUCAAUAAAUGUACUGUCUUUAUUGUUUUGUCA